rnacentral:rRNA from 1 species
AUUGAACGCUGGCGGCAUGCUUUACACAUGCAAGUCGAACGGUAACAGGCCUUCGGGUGCUGACGAGUGGCGAACGGGUGAGUAAUGCAUCGGAACGUGCCCAGAGGUGGGGGAUAACGCAGCGAAAGCUGUGCUAAUACCGCAUGUGAUCUGAGGAUGAAAGCGGGGGACCAAGCAGCAAUGUUUGGCCUCGCGCCUCUGGAGCGGCCGAUGUCAGAUUAGGUAGUUGGUGGGGUAAAGGCCUACCAAGCCGACGAUCUGUAGCUGGUCUGAGAGGACGAGCAGCCACACGGGGACGGGAACCGGCCCCAGCCCCCGAGGGGGGGCGGCGGGGGGGAGUUUGGGACAAGGGGGGCAAGCCUAACCCAGAAAGGCGGCGGGGGGGAAGAGGGCCUGCGGUUUGUAAACCUGUUUUGGGGGAAAAAAAAAGGCUGGGCCAAACACCUGGGGUUGAUGACGUUCCGGAAAGAAAAAGCCCCGGCUAACUACGUG